UUGUGAUGCAAUUAUGAUUCUUUUAGAUCAGGGAGGAAACCAAAGUACCAGAAGGUCACAAGACUGAUGCGAAAAAAGUGUAUUAUGUAUGCCCAUUUAGAAACUAAGAACUUAUUAUGCAGCAUGUUACAUUUUGAAAAGAACUAUUAACUUGCCAUGUAUCCUUAUACAGGUGUAUUAGCAAACUCAAAAACCAAUGAGGAAACUGAGACAAGGCAAACUAUUAUCAAUAAAUAAUCCAAAAUCAGCUACGUUGUCCAUGGCAAUGAACACGAGCAAGAGUCCCGAAUAAGAAAUAAAACACAGGAAGCGUCCCUGAAUAUCAAGGCUACAACAACCAGAAGGGACAUCACCAUGUAAAUUGUGCAAAGGAACUUGAGUCCUGCCACGGUAACGGGCUGAACAUGUCAAACUGAUGCUACAGAGUAGUGCAGUAGAUACACCAGAUACUUCGACAACCCACUGUCAGCACACACUAUCUGAAACAAAAAUCAAAUGGAGCAUACCAAACAUGUGGUUGGUUAAUCUUGUAAUCAAUCUCUCAAACUUUGACUCAUCAAGCAAAAGUUGUUAUCUUGUUCCCUAAUACCUAAAAUAGUUUGGUAAGCAUUUGCAGAUACUAAUAGCUUAAUGAACCAAAGAAAGUUCUGUGACGUCAAGAUACAAAGAUCUGGAUGGGGUGGGUUAGGCGAAACUUAUAGAAUCAAGAAUGUGCUCCAUUUAUCUCUAGAUAUCAUUUAUUAAAAGGAGGAAAAUUAUAUGUGACCUCGGAAAUACUUACACUAGAUCUCUAAAGUUCACUCAGUAUGCACUACAUAGAUUCAUUGUGUCUGCAUGCGUGUUCACAGCCAAAACUUAACUCAAAGAAUAAAGAGGGCCAAAUGGAAAAUUGGCCAUGGUACCACAUGUUUGGCGUCAUAUACUAGUCGCCUCUCCACUAAGCACCUUGCGAGGGAAUUCAUGCUACAUUAUGCAUGACCAAACGGCCUAACAUAUGCAGCAAAAAAAUUUGGCAAGGCAUUGGAAUGCUGGUCACUGGUCCCGUAGCAGAACCUAAGCAGAAACACUAUCACGCAUUUGAUCUGUUUGUUAUUAAGUAAACCUCCUGCCUCCCUCCACUUCAUACCACACCUUUACAUUGUCCUGAAAAUUAGUCUACCUCCAAGUGCAGUGUAAGAGAAACAAACGCACCGGUUUCUGGAUCCGCACAAUGACCGUGAUUGCAAAAGAGACUCCAAUCAAUCAAGAAGUAAGACACGUGAUAAGAAAAAUGUAUUACCGGAAUGGAAAUGGAGGCGGCUAGGACCAUAGACCAUGUCCACCAGAUUGAACAAAUGAAUCCCCUUUUUUCAUAACUAGCAAUACCCAGGUACCCUUCAUUAAAAAAAAAAACUCAGGCCCUCCCACAAAGAAAGGGGAAGAACAAAGAUUUCCCCCAAUUCACAUUCUUUCUUUCCGUCACACUCACCUAUCGGUCCCACACUGCCGAUCCGGGUGAGCGGCCGCGCGCCGGGCUGCAUUCGCCCCAGGCCGCGGCGGGAGAACCGCCGCUUUCGCGCCAUUAUCCUGCAACGGCGGCGGCGGCGGGGAGGACCACUAAUUUAGUCCCUCAUUUUUCAUAUUUGAAUCACUAAUAGCAAAAUAGCUCUCCAAUAGACUGGUUAUUUAACUUGUCAAGCUAUCCG
rnacentral:lncRNA from 1 species